UUAGCUUCAGUACUCAGAUCCUGACCUCCCAACCAGAGCACUGUCAGCUGACAACAUCACCACAGCAGCUCAGAUAGCUAACACGAUGCUUCAGUCUGCAAACAUCACAGAGGACAUCGCAGUGGCAGCUGUAACUACCAUCAGUCAGCUGCUGAAUUCCAGUGAGGAGAGUUCACAGGAGAGAGACGCUGUCCAAAACCUCACAGAGACCCUGGAGAAGUUUUCCCUGACCAGCACAAUAAUGUGUCCUUGGUGGUUCAGCCCAACCUGGUAGUCCAGUCUGUCCAAGUACCAAGUGACUCAGUAGGGAUCCAGUUUACUGCUCUGACUGUUUUGCAUAGUAAAAACACAAACCACUCCAUUGGUUUUGUACUCUACCAAAACGACCGGUUCUUCAGGUCCAGUGCUUUCAGUG